AUGGAAGACAGGGACAAAGAGAAGGUAUUCAUUUUAACAAUACAUUUUGGGUAUUUAUUUCUACUGUUCCAUGAUUGAUUUGCUGUUGUCUUGUGUCACAGUAGUGAAAGAUAAUAAGAGACAAGACGGAUGGACAACACCAACUUCUGCCAGUGAGCCCUUGCUGAACAAGUUUGGGUUCCAUACCUCUGCACACCACCUUUCUAUGAAGACUUUGGAGAAGCCAGCAACAAAUUAAGGACAUUUCAAUAAUGUACUGGCUGCAUCCUUUACAAACUCACAAUCCCUCUGUAUCUGUCUCUCAACCACUGUAUUGCCU